GUGAGGAAUAUUGGUCAAUGGGCGGGAGCCUGAACCAGCGAAGUCGCGUGAAGGAAGAAGGAUCUAUGGUUCGUAAACUUCUUUUGCAGGGGAAUAAAGUGCAGGACGUGUCCUGUUUUGUAUGUACCCUGAGAAUAAGGAUCGGCUAACUCCGUGCCAGCAGCCGCGGUAAUACGGAGGAUCCAAGCGUUAUCCGGAUUUAUUGGGUUUAAAGGGUGCGCAGGCGGGUUGAUAAGUCAGCGGUGAAAGUUUGCAGCUUAACUGUAAAAUUGCCGUUGAAACUGUCGAUCUUGAGUGCAAAUGAGGUAAGCGGAAUGUGUUGUGUAGCGGUGAAAUGCUUAGAUAUAACACAGAACACCGAUUGCGAAGGCAGCUUACUGGGAUGCAACUGACGCUCAUGCACGAAAGCGUGGGGAUCAAACAGGAUUAGAAACCCGGGUAGUCC
rnacentral:rRNA from 1 species